rnacentral:lncRNA from 10 species
GAGAAUCUAAUCUGAGAGGUGGUAGGUGACGGAUGGGGUCCCCAGCUGCCAAAGGUCGCACGGCGGGAAGGAGCUGGCCGAAGCACUGACUUGGAAGUCAGACCUCAUUUCCAGGGUCACAUCGCCAGUCGUGGCCUUGCGCGGAUUACCUAACAUCAAGUCUCAAUUUCUUCACCUGACAAUCACCUCCUAGGAUUGCUGUAAAAAAUAAUAAUAAUAAUGCAUUACAGUUCUUGGCCCAGUGCCUGGCUCAUGGUGAGUUCUCAGUAAAUAACCAUGACCAGCACGUUGGGAGGCUGAGACAGGAGGAUCUCCUGAGCCCAGGAGUUCGAGACCAGCCUGGGCAACAUAGCCAGAUCCCCGUCUCUACAAAAAAAAUUAAAAAUAAUUAGAUAGGAGUGGUGGCAAGCGCCUGUGGUCCCCGCUACUUGGGAGGCUGAGUCUGGAGGAUCUCUGGAGCCCAGGAGGUCGAGGUGCAGUGAGCCGAGAUCGUGCCACUGCACUCCCAGCCUGGGCAACAGAGCAAGACCCUGUCUCAAAAAAAUAAAGUUGGUAACUAUGAGGGUGCUAAGGAAGAUGCCCACCCAAUUCACUGUGCUUUCUACUUCUCCCGCUGGAAAGCCUUGCUCUGGAGGAAGGCAGCUGCAGAGGAAGUCCACAGAACCCCAAUCUUGGAUGGCUACUCGUGUCCCUCCAAUCUCCAGGCUCUCCUCCCUCUGGUUCACACUGCACAUUGCUUCACUAACCUGCUGGCUGCCUCACCAGCAACCGCGUUACCUUCGGACUGAACAGAGAUUUCAAGGUCUCAUUCUGUCACCCAGUCCAGGGUAAAGUGGCACAAUCUCGGCUCACUGCAACCUCAUCCUCCGGGACUCAAGCAAUCCCC